UCAUGGCCUUUAUGUCCAGGGCUACACACGUGCUACAAUGGGUUGUACAAAGGGUUGCGAACUCGCGAGAGUAAGCCAAUCCCAAAAAGCAACUCUUAGUUCGGAUUGGAGUCUGCAACUCGACUCCAUGAAGCUGGAAUCGCUAGUAAUCGUGGAUCAGCAUGCCACGGUCGAAUACGUUCCCGGGCCUU
rnacentral:rRNA from 1 species